GCUCUGCUAGUUCAAUCAGGGAGAAUGCCAGUUUUGUAAUCUGGAGAUAUGGGUUCAAAUCCCAUGCGGAGCUCCA
rnacentral:tRNA from 1 species